GAAUGCUGACAUAAGUAACGAUAAAGCGGGUGAAAAGCCCGCUCGCCGGAAGACCAAGGGUUCCUGUCCAACGUUAAUCGGGGCAGGGUGAGUCGACCCCUAAGGCGAGGCCGAAAGGCGUAGUCGAUGGGAAACAGGUUAAUAUUCCUGUACUUGGUGUUACUGCGAAGGGGGGACGGAGAAGGCUAUGUUGGCCGGGCGACGGUUGUCCCGGUUUAAGCGUGUAGGCUGGUUUUCCAGGCAAAUCCGGAAAAUCAAGGCUGAGGCGUGAUGACGAGGCACUACGGUGCUGAAGCGACAAAUGCCCUGCUUCCAGGAAAAGCCUCUAAGCAUCAGGUAACAUCAAAUCGUACCCCAAACCGACACAGGUGGUCAGGUAGAGAAUACCAAGGCGCUUGAGAGAACUCGGGUGAAGGAACUAGGCAAAAUGGUGCCGUAACUUCGGGAGAAGGCACGCUGAUAUGUAGGUGAAGCGACUUGCUCGUGGAGCUGAAAUCAGUCGAAGAUACCAGCUGGCUGCAACUGUUUAUUAAAAACACAGCACUGUGCAAACACGAAAGUGGACGUAUACGGUGUGACGCCUGCCCGGUGCCGGAAG
rnacentral:rRNA from 1 species